rnacentral:rRNA from 1 species
GACAGAGGGUGCAAACGUUGUUCGGAUUUACUGGGCGUAAAGCGCGUGUAGGCGGCUUUGCAAGUCGGAUGUGAAAGCCCACGGCUCAACCGUGGAAGUGCAUCCGAAACUGCAUGGCUUGAGUCUCGGAGAGGAAGGUGGAAUGCUUGGUGUAGAGGUGAAAUUCGUAGAUAUCAAGCAGAACACCUGCGGCGAAGGCGGCUUACUGGUCCGGUUCUGACGCUGAGGCGCGAAAGCGUGGGGAGCAAACAGG